GGUUAAGUGACUAAGCGUACACGGUGGAUGCCUGGGCAGUCAGAGGCGAUGAAGGACGUACUAACUUGCGAUAAGCGCAGAUAAGGCAGUAAGAGCCGUUUGAGUCUGCGAUUUCCGAAUGGGGAAACCCAACUGCAUAAGCAGUUACUGUUAACUGAAUACAUAGGUUAACAGAGCAAACCGGGGGAACUGAAACAUCUAAGUACCCCGAGGAGAAGAAAUCAACCGAGAUUCCGGUAGUAGCGGCGAGCGAACCUGGAUUAGCCCUUAAGCACUCGGUGAAGUAGGUGAACAAGCUGGAAAGCUUGGCGAUACAGGGUGAUAGCCCCGUAACCGACGCUUCAUCGAGCGU
rnacentral:rRNA from 1 species